UACGUAGGGUGCGAGCGUUGUCCGGAAUUAUUGGGCGUAAAGAGCUCGUAGGCGGUCUGUCGCGUCGGAUGUGAAAACCCAGGGCUCAACCCUGGGCCUGCAUUCGAUACGGGCAGACUAGAGUUCGGUAGGGGAGACUGGAAUUCCUGGUGUAGCGGUGAAAUGCGCAGAUAUCAGGAGGAACACCGGUGGCGAAGGCGGGUCUCUGGGCCGAUACUGACGCUGAGGAGCGAAAGCGUGGGGAGCAAACAGG
rnacentral:rRNA from 1 species